CGUGCCGCAGUUAACACAAUAAGUAUCCCACCUGGGGAGUACGAUCGCAAGGUUGAAACUCAAAGGAAUUGACGGGGGCCCGCACAAGCGGUGGAUUAUGUGGUUUAAUUUGAUGCAACGCGAAGAACCUUACCAGGGCUUGACAUCCUGCUAACGAGGUAGAGAUACGUCAGGUGCCCUUCGGGGAAAGCAGAGACAGGUGGUGCAUGGUUGUCGUCAGCUCGUGUCGUGAGAUGUUGGGUUAAGUCCCGCAACGAGCGCAACCCUUAUUGUUAGUUGCUACGCAAGAGCACUCUAGCGAGACUGCCGUUGACAAAACGGAGGAAGGUGGGGACGACGUCAAAUCAUCAUGCCCCUUAUGUCCUGGGCUACACACGUAAUACAAUGGCGGUAAACAGAGGGAUGCAAUACUGCGAAGUGGAGCGAACCCCUAAAAGCCGUCCCAGUUCAGAUUGCAGUCUGCAACUCGACUGCAUGAAGUCGGAAUCGCUAGUAAUCGCGGAUCAGCAUGCCGCGGUGAAUACGUUCCCGGGCCUUGUACACACCGCCCGUCACACCAUGAGAGUCGGGAACACCCGAAGUCCGUAGCCUAACCGCAAGGAGGGCGCGGCCGAAGGUGGGUUCGAUAAUUGGGGUGAAGUCGUAACAAGGUAACCGU
rnacentral:rRNA from 1 species